rnacentral:lncRNA from 1 species
UCAUGGACCACCAGCAAAGGGUACACAAUAUAUGCCAUAAAACUCAUAAAAAUUUCAAAAAAAAAAAUCUGGAUAAAAUCAGUGCCAUAAGGAAAGAGUUUUGGUUUCCUAAAAUUCUAUCUUAUAGAAUUUGAAAUCCAAACUAAUUCUUACUUUGACUUGAUCCACAACCAUAUUCCUAUUAGAUGUGUGCCCUAGAUAC